AUUAGACCGAAUAAUUAAUAUUCUAUGUUAAAGAAAUGUGUUUAUCAAUUCCAAACAAACUGAUUUACGUUUUAAACUGGUUCCGGUUGGAGGACUGAUGGCACUGAUACAAAAAUAAUAAAAUUAGGUACUUUUCUGUCCAUUAUCUUGCGAUUUUAACCAACUGUUCAAAAUUUAAUUCAAAUGUUGUUUUGAGGAAAGAAGAAAGAGAUAAUUCUGUUAACUGUUAUUUAGAAAUAAUCCCCAAAAGAUUUUUUGCAUAAAUUGAGAUGAGAUAACAAUACAAUGCUUAAUAUUGCAUCACAGUAAUUUUAUAUUAUUCUAUUAUGUGCAUAUUACGAUGCUAGAAAGAUCGCAAAAUUAAGUCCAAGCUUUUCCAUUAUGAUAAUAAAUUAAGUGUAUUGUGUUUUAUUCGCACUUUAUCAUAAUUAACUGUUCAGUGUAGUUCAUUAAACUACGGCCAAUUUAUUCAUUUCUAAAGUCUUAUUAUUUAAUUUUUAACUGAGUUUGAACAAGUGAAGUGAAUGAAAAAAAUUGAAAAAAACUCGAAAAAAGUUAUUGGACCCUUCUUCAGCAACGCCACUGCCGUCUUGCUUUAGGGAUUUUUGUAAGGGAAAGUUUUUCUGUCGCGAGAUUUUCUCUGUUUAUCUCUGAUUGUAAACAAACAGCUAAACAAUGUAAACAAAUUUUGUGGUCUCUUAAACUAGCGUAAACCGCUCAGCGAAUAGCUAUUUAUUGAACUAAUUGAGACAGUUAGCUUGGGAUUAAAAUGACGACCAAAGUUGUAGAUAUGGAAGCCCUACAAAAACUGUUUCAGUUUCAGUUUUUGUUAAAACACAAAAUGGUGGAUUUUGUUAAUUUUAAAAUGGGGGGGUGUAUUCACGAUUUUUUCUGCUUUUCUGUUUACCAUUGAAAAUCUGGGUGUUUCUCAAAUAAGGCAAUUUAGCUGAUCAUCCUGGUAAUAAUGACCUACUACUGGAGAAACCAAAUAAAUGGGCAGCGAUGAGUAUUUAAUAAAUCACCUGUGAGGCAAAAUAUGACAAUUUACACAGCAAAGUUGUCGCUUAAAAGUCCGCACUUGUAACUAACUACCUAUUUCAGACAUCUCUCCGUCAUCGAGAUGAAGAAUUUAAGCUUUCUCUAACGGUUUUUAUUUUUUCCUCGAAAUUUAACAAAAUAAAACGUCUUAUAUUACAAACCCAUCUCAUCCAACUUUUACUAAAUGGCAUAGCGUGAUUUGUUCUCAACGGUAGUUUGUUUAUUACAGGUCAAUAAAUGAUGCGCUCGUU